CCUAGUGGAUGCUAGCGGGCCCAAACUCAGCAACGUGCACAUUCGCCGCAAAUUUGCGCUCUUCAUCAGUACCAUCCUAGCCCGCAUUCAGCCCGCAUAGCGAGCUGACAAGAACAAUAACCCGAAUUAAUCGGCCAGGCGCAUCGGGCGCAUUUCCGACAGAACGACCGCUGCCGUCCACCUGGCGGUGCCUUUGUGGGGUCUCCCCUCUCCGUGCUCGUUCAACAUGGCGGCGAUCACACGGCUAGGCAGGUUGAGCCUGAAACUCGAGAAAUUGUGGGCUGUCGGGCCUCCGCAGGCCCGCUUCUUGUCGUCGGUCGUCAAGCAUCGUGCACCAUGUCAGCCCUUGUCGGCGGCGCCACAGCCUUUGCAACAAGCGCAACUGUUAUUUCAGGUGCAGGCACCGACACAGUUCCUCCCGUCACGGUCAUACAGUGAGAAGGCGCCGUUGACAAAAGACUCUAUCCGUGACAGAACCAUGCUCGUGCUGAAGCUGUACGACAAGAUUGACCCCGAGAAGCUCACGCUUGAAUCGCAUUUCAUCUACGACCUGGGCCUAGACAGCCUGGACUGUGUCGAAGUCAUCAUGGCCAUCGAAGACGAGUUUGGUUUUGAGAUUCCAGACACGGAUGCGGAGAAGUUGGUGAAGCCUUCAGACAUCAUCCAGUACGUGGCCGACAAAGAGGACGUUUACAAAUAGGCGGGGGCUACUACUAUAAGAGGUUGCUGAAAGUUUUGUACGGGCUUGGCAUGGGCCUGUCUAUUUGAACCGUCGACGUUGAAGG
rnacentral:misc_RNA from 1 species